AUACGUAGGUGACAAGCGUUAUCCGGAUUUACUGGGCGUAAAGGGCGUGUAGGCGGUCUUGCAAGUCAGAAGUGAAAUUCCUGAGCUCAACUCGGGCGCUGCUUCUGAAACUGCAGGACUUGAGUGCUGGAGGGGAUAGCGGAAUUCCUAGUGGAGCGGUAAAAUGCGCAGAUAUUAGGAAGAACACCGGUGGCGAAGGCGGCUAUCUGGACAGUAACUGACGCUCAGUCACGAAAGCGUGGGUAGCAAAUAGGAUUAGAUACCCUAGUAGUCCACGCUGUAAACGAUGACAACUAAAUAUUGCCGCGAGGCAGUGUUGAAGCUAACGCAUUAAGUUGUCCGCCUGGGGAGUACGGUCGCAAGACUGAAACUUAAAUGAAUUGGCGGGG
rnacentral:rRNA from 1 species